CGGGCGGGUUAACUUCGCGCUCUGGGUAAAUGCUCAGUCGUCUGGGUGGAGACGCUGUAGAGAAUCUGGUUCUCAUUGGAUCUCCCAGCUGUUUGCCCCCGUUAAAGCCCUAACUUGUCUACUUUUAUUUGUUUGUUUGUUUGUUUUGCAGGACCUCCCGGGGCUAGACGUGUUGUGUUACCUUCCAGCACACCCACCAAGCCUGGGGUUGAGGUGGGACUUGUUCGGUCUGUCUUGAGUUCCUCUGAAACCAGCCUAGGAGAGACGCCUGGGUUCCGAGAAGUGGCCAGCGUUCCAGAGAAAUCUCAUCCCCAGUGACUACUCAGCCCCUCAGCCUUUGGUUCUUCAGCAGGCUCAACCUUAGCAGCAAAUAAUGAUAACAACAAGAUCAGUGAAAUCCUUUCCUCUCCCCACAAGGAUCUCUUCUUGGUUUAGCUAAACUCAUUUCUCUGGCUUCCUUGAGAAUGAUGACUGCAGUCCAACUAACCCAACAAUGGCUGGCUGUGAACAGAAAGUCCAAGAAUCUAG